AGUGAACGCUGGCGGUAGGCCUAACACAUGCAAGUCGAACGGCGGCACAGUAAGAGCUUGCUCUUACGGGUGGCGAGUGGCGGACGGGUGAGGAGUACAUCGGAAUCUACUUUUUCGUGGGGGAUAACGUAGGGAAACUUACGCUAAUACCGCAUACGACCUACGGGUGAAAGCAGGGGAUCUUCGGACCUUGCGCGAUUGAAUGAGCCGAUGUCGGAUUAGCUAGUUGGCGGGGUAAAGGCCCACCAAGGCGACGAUCCGUAGCUGGUCUGAGAGGAUGAUCAGCCACACUGGAACUGAGACACGGUCCAGACUCCUACGGGAGGCAGCAGUGGGGAAUAUUGGACAAUGGGCGCAAGCCUGAUCCAGCCAUACCGCGUGGGUGAAGAAGGCCUUCGGGUUGUAAAGCCCUUUUGUUGGGAAAGAAAAGCAGCAGGUUAAUACCCCGCUGUUCUGACGGUACCCAAAGAAUAAGCACCGGCUAACUUCGUG
rnacentral:rRNA from 1 species